rnacentral:misc_RNA from 2 species
AACGCACCUUGCACUCCUUGGUAUUCCGAGGAGUAUGCCUGUUUGAGUGUCAUGAAAUUAUCAACUUCUUAGUUUUAUUACUUUGAAGCUUGGAUUUGGAAGUUGCAGGCUUUUUGUAGUCGGCUCUUCUUAAAUGCAUUAGCUGCUUGUCCGUGAGUUGGCUCAGAGUGUGAUAAGUAUCUACACUUGGUGGCUGCUUGCUUGGAUGUGGCUUCUAAUCGUCUUCGGACAACUACUUAAGAUCUGACCUCAAAUCAGGUAGGACUACCCGCUGAACUUAA